GUGCUUGCUUUGGCAGCACAUAUAAUACACUUGCAACAAUACAGAGAUUAGCACGGCCCCUACCAAGGAUGACAUGCAAAUUAGUGCAGUGUUUCAUAUUUUU
ensembl:snRNA U6 U6 spliceosomal RNA